GUAACUCUUAUAAACCUUUUGAAGCUUAACCGCAGCAGCAUUAAGCUCGCACACCGGUCUCGGUGAGAACAUGAUUGCCGGUUCGGGAAGAGAAAGGGAAGGCAUUGACACAUGCUUCAAGGUAUUUGAACCCAUCAUAAUCUCUUUGUUGUUAUCUUCAACAGCUACAUAAUUCUUGAAUGAAAAAUUCUUUUCGAGCAAUUUUACAUUUUCUGGUUUGUAAUUCUUUAAGCUUCUUGUUCUUUUAGUACUUUUGAUGGUUUCAUCAUCAUCAUGAUAAUGAUCAUUUGAGGAGCCAUCUGUUUUCUUGAAGCUAUUUACCCUUACGGUGACCUCACCAUCUUUGGUAUCAAAACUGAUGUUGUAUGCCAAACUAAAAAUCCUGUGUUUCAGAAUCUCUUCCCAGGCCGAUAAGAGCAAUGAAAGCGAAAAGCCCAUAGAUAUAUCUAUCUGCAAUUUUUCAAUUAAUAGGAGGAACCCAGAUUAAAUUAAAGAGAAGCAAAUUAAAAGAACAUGAACACGACCCUCAAUUAUCAAAAAAGAAAAGAACAAAAAAAAAAUCUCUUCUAUUAAAUUACCUGUAGUACUGUGUUAGAGGACCGGAGACCUGCUUAUUCCAAUUUUUCUUAAUUUGUUUUAUGGUUGUGGUUUUGAUUUGAUGUCAAGAUGCAAUUGAUGAUGUUAAAUUUGACUGCUCCUUAGCUUAAUUUAUAUUACAACUGCUCAGGGAACAAAACAAGUAGUCCAGUCCACAAAACCUUCAAAGACGUGCUGAACACAACAGUUUUUGAAUGGAAGAUAAAAGAGAUAAAGAUGGGCUCUGAAAUCAAGGGUUAAUUUUAAUUUCCAGGUUCAAGACCAAGAGUUUGAUGUAUUCAAAGCUUGAAAAUGUUGAAUUCCUUUGCACAAUAUGUUCCGUAUUACGUGUAAUAUGUAUACAUAGAAAUCUUUUUUUUUUCGUUAUUCAAUUCAAUUUUAAUAACAUUACACGUGUGAAUUCGAAAGAUAUUGAUGCUACGAG
rnacentral:lncRNA from 1 species